rnacentral:rRNA from 1 species
CUGUAAGACUGGGAUAACUCCGGGAAACCGGGGCUAAUACCGGAUGCUUGUCUGAACCGCAUGGUUCAGACAUAAAAGGUGGCUUCGGCUACCACUUACAGAUGGACCCGCGGCGCAUUAGCUAGUUGGUGAGGUAACGGCUCACCAAGGCGACGAUGCGUAGCCGACCUGAGAGGGUGAUCGGCCACACUGGGACUGAGACACGGCCCAGACUCCUACGGGAGGCAGCAGUAGGGAAUCUUCCGCAAUGGACGAAAGUCUGACGGAGCAACGCCGCGUGAGUGAUGAAGGUUUUCGGAUCGUAAAGCUCUGUUGUUAGGGAAGAACAAGUGCCGUUCAAAUAGGGCGGCACCUUGACGGUACCUAACCAGAAAGCCACGGCUAACUACGUGCCAGCAGCCGCGGUAAUACGUAGGUGGCAAGCGUUGUCCGGAAUUAUUGGGCGUAAAGGGCUCGCAGGCGGUUUCUUAAGUCUGAUGUGAAAGCCCCCGGCUCAACCGGGGAGGGUCAUUGGAAACUGGGGAACUUGAGUGCAGAAGAGGAGAGUGGAAUUCCACGUGUAGCGGUGAAAUGCGUAGAGAUGUGGAGGAACACCAGUGGCGAAGGCGACUCUCUGGUCUGUAACUGACGCUGAGGAGCGAAAGCGUGAGGAGCGAACAGGAUUAGAUACCCUGGUAG